GUGAAUCAUCAAAUUUUUGAACGCAAAUUGCACUCUCUUCGGAGAGUAUGCCUGUGUGAGGGUCAGCCUAAAAAAAAUCGACGUAGUCGCUGUUUCUCGGUGACAUUCGUCUGAAAUUGGGUCAUCUUAAACCUUUUGGUUUUAAUCGUCUUAAAAUUUUCUGUACGAUUCCACGAACGUUUCUAAGAUGUACUUACACGUUUAAGGUAUCGAUCUUUAUUAUUCUUUGCCUUUUCUUCUGAUCGCGUCCAUAAAAUUUUCUUUAUC
rnacentral:misc_RNA from 1 species